rnacentral:rRNA from 1 species
CAGCAGCCGCGGUAACACGGAGGGUGCGAGCGUUAAUCGGAAUUACUGGGCGUAAAGCGUACGCAGGCGGUUUGUUAAGUCAGAUGUGAAAUCCCCGAGCUUAACUCGGGAACUGCAUUUGAAACUGGCAAGCUAGAGUCUUGUAGAGGGGGGUAGAAUUCCAGGUGUAGCGGUGAAAUGCGUAGAGAUCUGGAGGAAUACCGGUGGCGAAGGCGGCCCCCUGGACAAAGACUGACGCUCAGGUGCGAAAGCGUGGGGAGCAAACAGGAUUAGAUACCCGGGUAGUCCCUGUCUCUUAUAC